rfam:Babjeviella inositovora NRRL Y-12698 unplaced genomic scaffold BABINscaffold_2, whole genome shotgun sequence.
GGUUGUAUAGUGUAGUGGUUAUCACUGUUGGUUCUGAUCCAAUAAACCCCGGUUCGAAUCCGGGUACGACCU